GAUGAACGCUGGCGGCGUGCCUAAUACAUGCAAGUCGAGCGAACGGACGAGAAGCUUGCUUCUCUGAUGUUAGCGGCGGACGGGUGAGUAACACGUGGAUAACCUACCUAUAAGACUGGGAUAACUUCGGGAAACCGGAGCUAAUACCGGAUAAUAUUUUGAACCGCAUGGUUCAAAAGUGAAAGACGGUCUUGCUGUCACUUAUAGAUGGAUCCGCGCUGCAUUAGCUAGUUGGUAAGGUAACGGCUUACCAAGGCAACGAUGCAUAGCCGACCUGAGAGGGUGGUCGCCCACACUGGAACUGGGCCACGGUCCAGACUCCUACGGGAGGCAGCAGUAGGGAAUCUUCCGCAAUGGGCGAAAGCCUGACGGAGCAACGCCGCGUGAGUGAUGAAGGUCUUCGGAUCGUAAAACUCUGUUAUUAGGGAAGAACAUAUGUGUAAGUAACUGUGCACAUCUUGACGGUACCUAAUCAGAAAGCCACGGCUAACUACGUG
rnacentral:rRNA from 1 species